CUGCUGUUGAAACUGCUCCUAAAUGGAUAAGACUUAGGUCUUAGUGUAUAGAAGCUAUUGAAGGAGCAAUACCAACCUUCUUGAUAAAAGAAGAAAUUUGGUAUUGUUCCUUUAUUUAGUUUAGUAAAAUAUUAUUCAAUAAGAUAAGUAUCUUUUGCCAUUUUUUUUUUAUUGAAAUCAAUUUCAAAUAAAAGUAAUAAAAACAAAAUUUAAGGAUGAUGAAUCUUAAAAAUGGAAUCGAUAGAAUUUUUUAUGAAUAUGGGGCGGAUGUAGCCAAGUGGAUUAAGGCAGUGGAUUGUGAAUCCACCAUGCGCGCCUGUGUGAAAUU
rnacentral:misc_RNA from 1 species